CUACGUGCCAGCAGCCGCGGUAAUACGGAAGGUCCAGGCGUUAUCCGGAUUUAUUGGGUUUAAAGGGAGCGUAGGCGGACGAUUAAGUCAGCUGUGAAAGUUUGCGGCUCAACCGUAAAAUUGCAGUUGAAACUGGUUGUCUUGAGUGCACGCAGGGAUGUUGGAAUUCAUGGUGUAGCGGUGAAAUGCUUAGAUAUCAUGAAGAACUCCGAUCGCGAAGGCAUAUGUCUGGAGUGCAACUGACGCUGAGGCUCGAAAGUGCGGGUAUCGAACAGGAUUAGAUACCCUGGUAGUCCGCACAGUAAACGAUGAAUACUCGCAGUGUGCGAUAUACUGUAUGCUGCCAAGUGAAAACGUUAAGUAUUCCACCUGGGGAGUACGCCGGCAACGGUGAAACUCAAAGGAAUUGACGGGGGCCCGCACAAGCGGAGGAACAUGUGGUUUAAUUCGAUGAUACGCGAAGAACCUUACCAGGUCUUGACAUCCCUCUGACCGCUCUAGAGAUAGAGCUUUCUUCGGGACAGAGG
rnacentral:rRNA from 1 species